rnacentral:lncRNA from 1 species
GUGGUAAGUAAGAUAACGUUUGAUUUUUAUGUAUAAAACGGAAAGCGGGGAAAAGGGGGAGGGGCUAAUUCAUUUUAAAAUAAACAGGCUGUGAUCUUUAUUUUUGAUGAAAAAAUGCAGGAUGUGCCAUUCCAUCCCCCCAUUCCCCCUUAAAAAAAAUCGUGGAAAUCGCGCGUUUGUUGCCAAAUACAUGAAUUUAAUAUGCAGUGGUGGGAGUCCCGGGGGUUGGAACAACCCUUUUUCUGACGAUCAAUGCAUUGAAAUGGGGACAUAAAGUUGCCCCCCUCCUGUUUUGUCCUGGAUUUAGACCUGGAUCCACC